rnacentral:rRNA from 1 species
UACAGAGGGUGCGAGCGUUAAUCGGAAUUACUGGGCGUAAAGCGCACGUAGGUGGCGACGUAAGUCGGGUGUGAAAGCCCCAAGCUUAACUUGGGAACUGCCAUUGAUACUGAUGGUCUUGAGUACAUUUGAGGUGGGCGGAAUGUGUCAUGUAGCGGUGAAAUGCUUAGAUAUGACACAGAACACCGAUUGCGAAGGCAGCUCACUAAACUGUAACUGACGCUGAGGCACGAAAGCGUGGGGAGCAAACAGG